rnacentral:rRNA from 1 species
GACGAACGCUGGCGGCGUGCCUAAUACAUGCAAGUCGAGCGGAGUUCAUUUGAAAGCUUGCUUUCAAAAGAACUUAGCGGCGGACGGGUGAGUAACACGUAGGCAACCUGCCCCUUAGACUGGGAUAACUACCGGAAACGGUAGCUAAUACCGGAUAAUUUCUCUCUUCUCCUGAAGAAAGAAUGAAAGAUGGAGCAAUCUAUCACUGAGGGAUGGGCCUGCGGCGCAUUAGCUAGUUGGUGGGGUAAUGGCCCACCAAGGCGACGAUGCGUAGCCGACCUGAGAGGGUGAACGGCCACACUGGGACUGAGACACGGCCCAGACUCCUACGGGAGGCAGCAGUAGGGAAUCUUCCGCAAUGGACGAAAGUCUGACGGAGCAACGCCGCGUGAGUGAUGAAGGUUUUCGGAUCGUAAAGCUCUGUUGCCAGGGAAGAACGUCCGAUAGAGUAACUGCUAUCGGAGUGACGGUACCUGAGAAGAAAGCCCCGGCUAACUACGUGCCAGCAGCCGCGGUAAUACGUAGGGGGCAAGCGUUGUCCGGAAUUAUUGGGCGUAAAGAGCUCGUAGGCGGUUUGUCGCGUCUGGUGUGAAAACUCAAGGCUCAACCUUGAGCUUGCAUCGGGUACGGGCAGACUAGAGUGUGGUAGGGGUGACUGGAAUUCCUGGUGUAGCGGUGGAAUGCGCAGAUAUCAGGAGGAACACCGAUGGCGAAGGCAGGUCACUGGGCCACUACUGACGCUGAGGAGCGAAAGCAUGGGGAGCGAACAGGAUUAGAUACCCUGGUAGUCC